UUGCAAUAUCCGAGCUCGGGCUCCCAGUCCGGGAUCCGAGGAGUUAGGUGCCAGCUGGAGAUGUCCCUCCGGGACCCGCACCCUUCUCCAGUUACAAAUCCGGUUUCCGUUUAGGUAAAAUGGAUAGAAUAAUAGUACUUACCUCAAAGGAUUGUUGAAGAGAAUCAACAAGAUGAUAUCCCUGAAGCACUGGGAAUAGUGUCUGGCACACAGCACUCUCCCAGGAGCACACCGCGGCGCUAGAGAAGACCAGGAAAAAGGACCUGAGCCAGCUUGCCGUCUUAACAAAAAUUUCAAACUUUGCAAAGCGGUAUACCUUCUUAUUCUCCAGUUCAGUAUUGCCAGUGAAGUCAUACUGAACGCAGACAAGGAAAAGAAAGAAAAAGAAACUCAAUGAGAUAUGUUGUCAUCUUCCCUGUUUUAUGGAUGAAGUUCUAAGUAGAGGUUCGGAGAAGAUGUUCAGCCUCAGAACGUAGCCACCUUGCUGUGAGAAAGCCCAACCAUCUUGUACAGCGAGACCACAUGGAGAGGCGCAUGUGGAAAGGAACGGAGGCUACAAGCCGAUAGCCAGCAUCGACUGCCAGGCACGGAGAGUGAGUCUUCAGAUGAAUCCAGCCUCAGCCUAGAGUCUUUUGUCUCAGGCCCCAGACACUGUGGAGCAGGGACAAGCCAUCCCCACUGUGUCCCACCCGCAUUCCUGAUCCACAGAAUCUAUGAGCACAAUAAAUAGUUGCUUUA
rnacentral:lncRNA from 1 species